GAUGAACGCUAGCUACAGGCUUAACACAUGCAAGUCGAGGGGUAACGAGAGGGAAGCUUGCUUUCCUUGUCGACGACCGGCGCACGGGUGAGUAACGCGUAUCCAACCUGCCCCCAACUAGGGAAUAACCUUGCGAAAGUAAGACUAAUACCCUAUAAUUUCCUCAGAUGUCAUCUGACGAGGAAUAAAGAUUUAUCGGUUGUGGAUGGGGAUGCGUCUGAUUAGCUUGUUGGCGGGGUAACGGCCCACCAAGGCAACGAUCAGUAGGGGUUCUGAGAAGAAGGUCCCCCAAAUUGGAACUGAGACACGGUCCAAACUCCUACGGGAGGCAGCAGUGAGGAAUAUUGGUCAAUGGGCGGAAGCCUGAACCAGCCAAGUAGCGUGCAGGAUGACGGCCCUAUGGGUUGUAAACUGCUUUUAUACAGGAAUAAAGUUAGCCACGUGUGGUUAUUUGUAGGUACUGUAUGAAUAAGGACCGGCUAAUUCCGUGCCAGCCGCCGCCGUAA
rnacentral:rRNA from 1 species